AGGUGAACGAAGCAAAUGGAGGCAGCUUCACAGGGUCCCACAGCGCUUAACAGCAAGAGACUGGAUCAGACAUUGGUAGAAAACUUGAUGAAGCAAAAUGAACCUGUGGAGCUAGAACAAAGGUGAAUGAAACAUUAUUGGAAGAACUCCUUCUGAGCGUUUAUAGAAAUCCAAAACAAAGAUUUAUAGUUUAUAUAAAGGGCACUCGGAAGAAUUCAUGUAUUUAUAGAGAUAACAAGAUGUGUCACGUCUGGCUGGAAAUACCAGUGGCAGCAGUAGGUAAUCACAACUGGAGCAAAAGCAAGAAUGUGACAAUAGGGCCAGCAGGUGUCGUGGUGGUUGGGGUGCUGGUCUCCACAUGG